rnacentral:rRNA from 1 species
UACGGAGGGUGCAAGCGUUAAUCGGAAUUACUGGGCGUAAAGCGUGCGCAGGCGGUUUGUUAAGUCUGCUGUGAAAUCCCCGAGCUCAACUUGGGAAUUGCAGUGGAUACUGGCAAGCUGGAGUACGGUAGAGGAAGGUGGAAUUCCCGGUGUAGCAGUGAAAUGCGUAGAUAUCGGGAGGAACACCAGUGGCGAAGGCGACUUCCUGGCCUGUUCUUGACGCUGAGGCGCGAAAGCCAGGGGAGCAAACGGG